UUGGCACCUCGAUGUCGGCUCAUCACAUCCUGGGGCUGUAGUAGGUCCCAAGGGUUGGGCUGUUCGCCCAUUAAAGUGGUACGCGAGCUGGGUUCAGAACGUCGUGGGACAGUUCGGUCCCUAUCCGGCGCAGGCGUAGGAAAUUUGAGAAGACCUGUCCUUAGUACGAGAGGACCGGGAUGGACGUACCUCUGGUGUACCAGUUGUCCUGCCAAGGGCAUGGCUGGGUAGCUA
rnacentral:rRNA from 1 species